UACGUAGGGGGCGAGCGUUGUCCGGAAUUAUUGGGCGUAAAGCGCGCGCAGGCGGUUCUUUAAGUCUUGUGUUUAAGCCCGGGGCUCAACCCCGGUACGCAUGGGAAACUGGGGAACUGGAGUGCAGGAGAGGGAAGCGGAAUUCCACGUGUAGCGGUGAAAUGCGUAGAGAUGUGGAGGAACACCAGUGGCGAAGGCGGCUUCCUGGCCUGUAACUGACGCUGAGGCGCGAAAGCGUGGGGAGCAAAC
rnacentral:rRNA from 1 species